rnacentral:rRNA from 1 species
GUGAAAUUGUUGAAAGGGAAGCGCUUGCAACCAGACUUGCACGCUGUCGAUCAUCCGAACUUCUGUCCGGUGCACUCGACUGCGUUCAGGCCAGCAUCGGUUUUGGUGGUGGGAUAAAGGCCUUGGGAAUGUAGCUUCUUUCGGGGAGUGUUAUAGCCCUCGGUGCAAUGCCGCCUACCGGGACCGAGGACCGCGCUUCGGCUAGGAUGCUGGCGUAAUGGUUGUAAGCGACCCGUCUUGAAACACGGACCAAGGAGUCUAACAUCUAUGCGAGUGUUUGGGUGUCAAACCCAUACGCGUAAUGAAAGUGAACGGAGGUGAGAACCCUUAAGGGUGCAUCAUCGACCGAUCCUGAUGUCUUCGGAUGGAUUUGAGUAAGAGCAUAGCUGUUGGGACCCGAAAGAUGGUGAACUAUGCGUGAAUAGGGUGAAGCCAGAGGAAACUCUGGUGGAGGCUCGCAGCGGUUCUGACGUGCAAAUCGAUCGUCAAAUUUGCGUAUAGGGGCGAAAGACUAAUCGAACCAUCUAGUAGCUGGUUCCUGCCGAAGUUUCCCUC